rnacentral:rRNA from 1 species
UACGGAGGGUGCAAGCGUUGUUCGGAAUUACUGGGCGUAAAGCGCGUGUAGGCGGCCGAUUAAGUCUGGUGUGAAAGCCCGGGGCUCACCCCCGGAAGUGCGCUGGAAACUAGCGGGCUUGAGUUCGGGAGAGGGAAGCGGAAUUCCGGGUGUAGCGGUGAAAUGCGUAGAUAUCCGGAGGAACACCGGUGGCGAAGGCGGCUUCCUGGACCGACACUGACGCUGAGGCGCGAAAGCUAGGGGAGCAAACGGG